rnacentral:rRNA from 1 species
GACGAACGCUGGCGGCGUGCCUAAUACAUGCAAGUAGAACGCUGAAGCGAGGAGCUUACUCUUCUUGGAUGAGUUGCGAACGGGUGAGUAACGCGUAGGUAACCUGCCUUGUAGCGGGGGAUAACUAUUGGAAACGAUAGCUAAUACCGCAUAACAAUGGAUGACACAUGUCAUUUAUUUGAAAGGGGCAAUUGCUGCACUACAAGAUGGACCUGCGUUGUAUUAGCUAGUAGGUGAGGUAAUGGCUCACCUAGGCGACGAUACAUAGCCGACCUGAGAGGGUGAUCGGCCACACUGGGACUGGGACACGGCCCAGACUCCUUCGGGAGGCAGCAGUAGGGGAUCUUCGGCAAUGGGGGCAACCCUGACCGGGCAACGCCGCGUGAGUGAAGAAGGUUUUCGGAUCGUAAAGCUCUGUUGUAAGUCAAGAACGGGUGUGAGAGUGGAAAGUUCACACUGUGACGGUAGCUUACCAGAAAGGGACGGCUAACUACGUG